rfam:Otolemur garnettii contig152941, whole genome shotgun sequence.
GUGCCUGUGGCUCAAAGGAGUAGGGCGCUGGCCCCAUAUGCCGGAGAUGGCAGGUUCAAACCCAGCCCCGGCCCA